rnacentral:rRNA from 1 species
AUACGUAGGGAGCGAGCGUUGUCCGGAAUUACUGGGCGUAAAGGGCGCGUAGGCGGCGCUUCAAGUCGUCUGUCAAAUGGGAGGGCUUAACCCUUUUUCGCAGACGAAACUGGAGAGCUUGAGAAGCAGAGAGGCAAACAGAAUUCCUGGUGUAGCGGUGAAAUGCGUAGAUAUCAGGAAGAAUACCAGUGGCGAAGGCGGUUUGCUGGCUGCAUACUGACGCUGAAGCGCGAAAGCCAGGGGAGCAAACGGGAUUAGAUACCCCGGUAGUCCUGGCAGUAAACGAUGAAUGCUGGGUGUGAGACUAGCGAUAGUUUCGUGCCGAAGUUAACGCGAUAAGCAUACCGCCUGGGGAGUACGGUCGCAAGAUUGAAACUCAAAUGAAUUGACGGGG